GGAUGUGAGGGUUACCUGGCUGCGAUAUCUGUCACCCAUUAAUCACCAAGGUGGGUUCAGCUGAUCUGGCUGGCUAGGCGAUUGUCCUCUUCUUCCCUCACCAUUCCGUGUGCACUCCUCCCAAAGUUGCCCCAUUGAAGAGGACAGCCACCCUGGAUAAAGGAGGACCAUUUUCCUAGUCAAGAGUAUGAGUAUCUGUGCUCCCCUACUAGAACCUCCUAACCAGCUCCUGAGAAACAUUAAGGUUCCUACCAUUUAUUCUUUUCCUAGUAGCAUUGAUAAUAUGUAUUGUUGCCAUCCUC
rnacentral:snRNA from 1 species